GACGAACGCUGGCGGCGUGCUUAACACAUGCAAGUCGAACGGUAAGGCCCUUCGGGGUACACGAGUGGCGAACGGGUGAGUAACACGUGGGUGAUCUGCCCUGCACUUCGGGAUAAGCCUGGGAAACUGGGUCUAAUACCGGAUAGGACUCCGGACUGCAUGGUCUGGGGUGGAAAGCUUUUGCGGUGCGGGAUGGGCCCGCGGCCUAUCAGCUUGUUGGUGGGGUGAUGGCCUACCAAGGGGACGACGGGUAGCCGGCCUGAGAGGGUGACCGGCCACACUGGGACUGAGAUACGGCCCAGACUCCUACGGGAGGCAGCAGUGGGGAAUAUUGCACAAUGGGCGCAAGCCUGAUGCAGCGACGCCGCGUGAGGGAUGACGGCCUUCGGGUUGUAAACCUCUUUCAGCAUCGACGAAGCGAAAGUGACGGUAGGUGCAGAAGAAGGACCGGCCAACUACGUGCCAGCCGCCGCAGUAA
rnacentral:rRNA from 1 species